AGUAAGGUAACUGGGUCAAAUGGUUCCAUUCCAAGUCUUCUAAGGAAUCUCCAUACUACUUUCCAGUGUGAUUGCACCAAUUUGCAGUCUCACCAGCUAU
rnacentral:pre_miRNA from 1 species